rnacentral:rRNA from 1 species
UACAGAGGUGGCAAGCGUUGUUCGGAAUUACUGGGCGUAAAGGGCGCGUAGGUGGCCUUCUUAGUCAGACGUGAAAUCCCCAGGCUUAACCUGGGAACUGCGUCUGAUACUGGAUGGCUUGGAUUUGGGAGAGGGAUGCGGAAUUCCAGGUGUAGCGGUGAAAUGCGUAGAUAUCUGGAGGAACACCGGUGGCGAAGGCGGCAUCCUGGACCAAUAUUGACGCUGAGGAGCGAAAGCUAGGGGAGCAAACGGG